rnacentral:lncRNA from 1 species
GCCCGGCUUCCGGGUAGUGGCAGGUGAGGCCGCGUGGGGCCAGCGGCGGCUCCUUGCUGGUCUGUGGCUCUGGGCCCAAGACCCGAGCCUCCUACAGGGGCGGCCCCCUGCCUGAGGCGCGGGUGGGUUCCGACCUCCGAGAGCCGGUCUGGAAGCACUGAGGGGCCCCUACUUUUGCCCCCGAAGUCAGCGGGGCAACAGCCGCUCCCUUGCAGGAGCCGGGCCGUGGGCUGAGGGCCCCGGUGGGUGAGAUCGGUGACCCCCGAAAACUCCGACCAAAGAGCUGCAGCAAGAAAGGAGUUGGUUCCCACAAACCGCCCAGAGUCAAGUUCUGGAGGCUGAGAAGUUCAAGAUCAAGGUGCUGGCAGAUUUGACGUCUGGUGAGAGUCCACUUUAUGGUUCAUAACUUUCUAUAACUUGCUAUAACUUCACAUGGAAAGGAAGAUAUGCUCCAUCGAAACAUGGAAAUGAAGUAAGAAAGAGCAAGACCUAGAUCCAAGAAACAUAGAGCCGACGAGUCUCCAGGAUGCAUUAAAUGGAGACUCAAGUUGUGAGCAGUACCUGAAAGGAAGCAACAUGUCCAGAAUGGAACAGAUCGCAAAGUUCCAGGAAGGAUUUCUUCAGGAAAAUUAAAUUGAUAGAAUACUUAAUUUGAAUCUCUUGAGGAAACUUGCACACAUUGGGAAGAAUUUGGAUUAAAUUAGCAACAAGUCCAUAAAAAUGGGAUCCUGGCAUUCAGACUCCCCUGCACCCUGGCUUCAAGGAGUGUGAGCGCCUUCAGGGCUGAGAUCUCUUCCUUAUGAUCCUUUUCUACUCUCCACAGCACCUAAAGAGAUUCUGGGCACACAUCACACAAUCAGUCAAUGUUUGUUAAUUGAUGGACAGAUUCAUUAUAACACACUCUCUUUUUUUUUUUUUUUUUUUUUGUCUUCUCAGGGCUGGAGGUUCCCAGGCUAGGGGUCGAAUCAGCGCUGUAGCCACCUAUCUACGCCACAGCCACAGCAACGUGGGAUCCGAGCUGCAUCAACACCAGAUCCUUAACACACUGAGCGAGGCCAGGGAUCAAACCCGCAACCUCAUGGUUCCCAGUCGGAUUUGUUAACCACUGAGCCACAUCAGGAACUCCGAUAACACACUUUCCAUCACAUCUUAUAAAGUGGCAUUUUUCAAAGUGUGCUAUGAGGAUUCUUUGCACCAGAAUCUCAUUGGGUUAUUUUCUAAAAUGCAGAAUCUUGGAGUUGGUGGCCUAGUGGGUUAAGGAUCUAGUGUUGUCACUGCUGUGGCUUGAGUCACUUCUGUGGCACAGGUUCAAUCCCUGGCCCUGAAACUUCCACAUGCUGGGAGUGCAGCCAAAAAGUAAAAGCAGGAUCUUGGACCCUACCACAUACCGACUAAAUCAGAAUUUCUAGGAAUAACUCUGGUAUUUGCAUUGUAGUGGAUAAAAGAUGGCCACAAAUUCUUUGACUUUUCUCCCAUUAAGAGGUGGGGUCUGAAGAAACUCAUGGACUUGGAGAACAGACUUGUGGUUGCCAAGGGGGAGGGAGAGGGAGUGGGAUGGACUGGGAAUUUAGGUUUAAUAGAUGCAAACUGUUGCCUUUGGAAUGGAUAAGCAAUGAGAUCCUGCUUUAUAGCACUGGGAACUAUAUCUAGUCACUUGUGAUGGAGCAUGAUAAUGUGAGAAAAAGAAUAUAUAUAUAUAUAUGUAUGUGUGACUGGGUCACCUUGCUGUACAGUAGAAAAUUGACAGAACACUGUAAACCAGCUAUAAUGGAAAAAAUUAAAAUCAUUAAAAAAAAA